rnacentral:rRNA from 1 species
ACUCCUACGGGAGGCAGCAGUGGGGAAUAUUGGACAAUGGGCGCAAGCCUGAUCCAGCCAUGCCGCGUGAGUGAUGAAGGCCCUAGGGUUGUAAAGCUCUUUUGUGCGGGAAGAUAAUGACGGUACCGCAAGAAUAAGCCCCGGCUAACUUCGUGCCAGCAGCCGCGGUAAUACGAAGGGGGCUAGCGUUGCUCGGAAUCACUGGGCGUAAAGGGUGCGUAGGCGGGUCUUUAAGUCAGGGGUGAAAUCCUGGAGCUCAACUCCAGAACUGCCUUUGAUACUGAAGAUCUUGAGUUCGGGAGAGGUGAGUGGAACUGCGAGUGUAGAGGUGAAAUUCGUAGAUAUUCGCAAGAACACCAGUGGCGAAGGCGGCUCACUGGCCCGAUACUGACGCUGAGGCACGAAAGCGUGGGGAGCAAACAGGAUUAGAUACCCUGGUAGGAAAGCG